GAUGAACGCUGGCGGCGUGCCUAAUACAUGCAAGUCGAGCGAACAGACGAGGAGCUUGCUCCUCUGACGUUAGCGGCGGACGGGUGAGUAACACGUGGAUAACCUACCUAUAAGACUGGGAUAACUUCGGGAAACCGGAGCUAAUACCGGAUAAUAUAUUGAACCGCAUGGUUCAAUAGUGAAAGACGGUUUUGCUGUCACUUAUAGAUGGAUCCGCGCCGCAUUAGCUAGUUGGUAAGGUAACGGCUUACCAAGGCAACGAUGCGUAGCCGACCUGAGAGGGUGAUCGGCCACACUGGAACUGAGACACGGUCCAGACUCCUACGGGAGGCAGCAGUAGGGAACCUUCCGCAAUGGGCGAAAGCCUGACGGAGCAACGCCGCGUGAGUGAUGAAGGUCUUCGGAUCGUAAAACUCUGUUAUUAGGGAAGAACAAAUGUGUAAGUAACUAUGCCCGUCUUGACGGUACCUAAUCAGAAAGCCACGGCUAACUACGUG
rnacentral:rRNA from 1 species